CAAUAGCGUAUAUUAAAGUUGUUGCGGUUAAAAAGCUCGUAGUUGGAUUUCUGCUGAGAACGACCGGUCCGCCCUCUGGGUGUGUAUCUGGCUCUUUCUUGGCAUCUUCUUGGUGAACGUUGCUGCACUUGACUGUGUGGAGCGCUACCCAGGACUUUUACUUUGAGGAAAUUAGAGUGUUUCAAGCAGGCAUACGCCUUGAAUACAUUAGCAUGGAAUAAUAAGAUAGGACCUCGGUUCUAUUUUGUUGGUUUCUAGAGCUGAGGUAAUGAUUAAUAGGGAUAGUUGGGGGCAUUCGUAUUUAACUGUCAGAGGUGAAACUCUUGGAUUUGUUAAAGACGGACUACUGCGAAAGCAUUUGCCAAGGAUGUUUUCAUUGA
rnacentral:rRNA from 1 species